UGGGGAAUUUUUCACAAUGGGGGAAACCCUGAUGCAGCGACGCCGCGUGAUUUAGAAGGCCUUCGGGUUGUAAAAAUCUUUUCUAUGGGAAGAAAAUGACAGUACCAUAGGAAUAAGGACCGGCUAAGUACGUGCCAGCAGCCGCGGUAAUACGUAAGGUCCGAGCGUUGUCCGGAAUCAUUGGGCGUAAAGGGUACGUAGGCGGGUAAGCAAGUUAGAAGUGAAAUCCUAUAGCUCAACUAUAGUAAGCUUUUAAAACUGCUCAUCUUGAGGUAUGGAAGGGAAAGUGGAAUUCCUAGUGUAGCGGUGAAAUGCGCAGAUAUUAGGAGGAAUACCGGUGGCGAAGGCGACUUUCUGGCCAUAACCUGACGCUGAGGUACGAAAGCGUGGGUAGCAAACAGG
rnacentral:rRNA from 1 species